rnacentral:rRNA from 1 species
GAUGAACGCUGGCGGUAUGCUUAACACAUGCAAGUCGAACGGGGGUAGAAAUACCCUAGUGGCGGACGGGUGAGUAACGCGUGAGAAUCUAGCUUCAGGUCGGGGAUAACAGAGGGAAACCGCUGCUAAUACCGGAUGAACCUACGGGUAAAAGAUUAAUUGCCAGAAGAUGAGCUCGCGUCCGAUUAGCUAGUUGGUAGGGUAAUGGCCUACCAAGGCGGCGAUCGGUAGCUGGUCUGAGAGGACGAUCAGCCACACUGGGACUGAGACACGGCCCAGACUCCUACGGGAGGCAGCAGUGGGGAAUUUCCGCAAUGGGCGAAAGCCUGACGGAGCAAUACCGCGUGAGGGAGGAAGGCUCUUGGGUUGUAAACCUCCUUUCUCAAGGAAGAAGCAAUGACGGUACUUGAGGAAUCAGCAUCGGCUAACUCCGUG